UACGUAGGAGGCGAGCGUUAUCCGGAUUUAUUGGGCGUAAAGCGCUUGCAGGCGGUGUAUCAAGUUGGAUAUGAAAGCUCCUGGCUCAACUAGGAGAGGCUAUUCAAAACUGAUAGACUAGAGGAUGGUAGAGGAAGGUGGAAUUCCGGGAGUAGUGGUGAAAUGCGUAGAUAUCCGGAGGAACACCAGUGGCGAAAGCGGCCUUCUGGGCCAAACCUGACGCUAAGAAGCGAAAGCUAGGGUAGCAAACGGG
rnacentral:rRNA from 2 species